UACGGAGGAUGCAAGCGUUAUCCGGAUUUAUUGGGUUUAAAGGGUGCGUAGGCGGGGGAAUAAGUCAGUGGUGAAAUCUUACAGCUCAACUGUGAAAUUGCCAUUGAUACUGUUUCCCUUGAGUUCAGUUGAGGUGGGCGGAAUGUGUAGUGUAGCGGUGAAAUGCUUAGAGAUUACACAGAACACCAAUUGCGAAGGCAGCUCACUAAACUGUAACUGACGCUGAGGCACGAAAGCGUGGGGAGCGAACAGGAUUAGAUACCCCAGUA
rnacentral:rRNA from 1 species